GAGAGUUUGAUCCUGGCUCAGGACGAACGCUGGCGGCGCGCCUAACACAUGCAAGUCGAACGAGCGAGAGAGAGCUUGCUUUCUCGAGCGAGUGGCGAACGGGUGAGUAACGCGUGAGGAACCUGCCUCAAAGAGGGGGACAACAGUUGGAAACGACUGCUAAUACCGCAUAAGCCCACGGGUCGGCAUCGACCAGAGGGAAAAGGAGCAAUCCGCUUUGAGAUGGCCUCGCGUCCGAUUAGCUGGUUGGUGAGGUAACGGCCCACCAAGGCAACGAUCGGUAGCCGGACUGAGAGGUUGAACGGCCACAUUGGGACUGAGACACGGCCCAGACUCCUACGGGAGGCAGCAGUGGGGAAUAUUGCACAGUGGGGGAAACCCUGAUGCAGCGACGCCGCGUGGAGGAAGAAGGUCUUCGGAUUGUAAACUCCUGUUGUUGGGGAAGAUAAUGACGGUACCCAACAAGGAAGUGACGGCUAACUACGUGCCAGCAGCCGCGGUAAAACGUAGGUCACAAGCGUUGUCCGGAAUUACUGGGUGUAAAGGGAGCGCAGGCGGGAAGACAAGUUGGAAGUGAAAUCCAUGGGCUCAACUCAUGAACUGCUUUCAAAACUGUUUUUCUUGAGUAGUGCAGAGGUAGGCGGAAUUCCCGGUGUAGCGGUGGAAUGCGUAGAUAUCGGGAGGAACACCAGUGGCGAAGGCGGCCUACUGGGCACCAACUGACGCUGAGGCUCGAAAGUGUGGGUAGCAAACAGGAUUAGAUACCCUGGUAGUCCACACCGUAAACGAUGAUUACUAGGUGUUGGAGGAUUGACCCCUUCAGUGCCGCAGUUAACACAAUAAGUAAUCCACCUGGGGAGUACGACCGCAAGGUUGAAACUCAAAGGAAUUGACGGGGGCCCGCACAAGCAGUGGAGUAUGUGGUUUAAUUCGACGCAACGCGAAGAACCUUACCAAGUCUUGACAUCCUGCGACGAUGCUGGAAACAGUAUUUUCCUUCGGGACGCAGAGACAGGUGGUGCAUGGUUGUCGUCAGCUCGUGUCGUGAGAUGUUGGGUUAAGUCCCGCAACGAGCGCAACCCUUACUGUCAGUUACUACGCAAGAGGACUCUGGCAGGACUGCCGUUGACAAAACGGAGGAAG
rnacentral:rRNA from 1 species